rnacentral:misc_RNA from 1 species
UCACAGUUUGCACUGGCAGUCUUGUUAGAGUUCCCGACAUGACUCGCUGGCAACUAACAACAGGGGUUGCGCUCGUUAUAGGACUUAACCUGACACCUCACGGCACGAGCUGACGACAACCAUGCAGCACCUUGUAAAUUGUCUUGCGAAAAGUCUGUUUCCAAACCGGUCAAUCUACAUUUAAGCCUUGGUAAGGUUCCUCGCGUAUCAUCGAAUUAAACCACAUGCUCCACCGCUUGUGCGGGCCCCCGUCAAUUCCUUUGAGUUUCAUUCUUGCGAACGUACUCCCCAGGUGGGAAGCUUAAUGCGUUAGCUGCGCCACUGAACUUGCGCCCAACAGCUAGUAUCCAUCGUUUACGGCGUGGACUAC